rnacentral:rRNA from 1 species
UCCGGCAUUUAGCGCUCGGCAACUCUUACAUGGUUGCCCACUGAAGCUUAGCAGGGCUAAGGUCAGUACCUGGAUGGGAGACCGCAUGGGAAAGCUAAGUUGCUGCCGGAA